GCCCUAGUCAUCUAGCCGAAGGAUGCCCUCCCAAUUGGCGGGUCACGUUGGUUCAAAUCCACCCUGGGGCA
rnacentral:tRNA from 1 species